AAUCUGCAGCUAGUUGUAUUUUUAAUUCACUAGCCUUUUACUUAUACAUGAGAGAAGUGGGAAGCUAAGUCAAUAGGAGCUAAACUCAACCCUUGGCUUGUUACGUGAGCUCAAACUAGUACCUAGUGAGUGUUUCAUGUACUGAACUUGGAUUUCCGGUGUUUUUGUAACAUCCAUGUAAGGUUUCGUUCGGUAUAUUAAAUCCUAUGAAAUUAUCAAAGUGUGCUGUACUAUGUUGGACAUAAUUUUAUGUUUGGACUUGGGUGAAUGUAACCAGACUUAUACUCUCAGAUUUUGUCAUAGUUGAUGGUGUGAGGACUUAUA